AGACCACAGGCUGCUCCACAGGAGUCCUUUCCCCAGCGGUUGCUAACUGCUUGUAUGAGCGUAGGCAGAGGUCUUGUGAGUCUUGUAGGAUUUCUGAACUUCCAGAACCUGGUAAGGUUGGAGGGAUUCCUGAGAUGUCAGCUUCCCUGGUGUGUGUCCAGGAGGAGAUGUUUGAGCUCACAGGAAGUAGCUGGAGCACAUGAGUGUCUGGAGGCUUCGUGCCAAGUCCACUCAUCAGGACUGUUGUGUUCCACUCGCCAGGCUGUAGUAGAUUUUCUUUCUUUUUAUUUUAUGUGUAUUAGUGUUUGGCUGAAUGUUUGUGCCCAUGGAAGGCAGAAGAAGGCAUUGGAUCCCCUGGGCCUGAAGUCACAGUUGGUUGUGAACUGCCAUGCCUGUGCCGGGAAUCAAACCUGGGUCCUCUGGGAGAGAGAGCAUCCAGUGUCCUUAACCACAGAGCCACCUCUCCAGCCCUGUGACUAUUUAUUUGCCUUCAGAGCUUUAUCCCAGAGCUGUCAUUAGUUAGGAGAGUACAGCUACCCAUGAAGAUAAAACUUUGUUUUCUGCCCAUAUAAAAAAUACCUAGAGCAAGACACGGGCUAUACACUUGUAAGUUUAGCAUCCGGGAGGCCGAGGCAGA
ensembl:sense_intronic Gm3513 predicted gene 3513